rnacentral:misc_RNA from 1 species
AAGUCGUAACAAGGUUUCCGUAGGUGAACCUGCGGAAGGAUCAUUAACAAAUCUUGGUGUUGGAUAGGGAGGGGAGUAUUGUUGUUACCCUUUGUGGGUGGCAGUGAUACUAACUUGAAUUAUCCACAAACCACAUUGACUCGGGCGCACGCUUAAGCCUUGAUGUUUAUUCAUUAUAGCUUGGUGUGAUUGCCCUGAGACAUACACGCUUGUUUUGUUUGACAGAGUAAAAGGUUACACAGAGAAAUAUAUACAACUUUUAACAAUGGAUCUCUUGGCUCUU